CUUUCAUAUAGCCACCAUACACAGCUUCUGUUCUUUAGCAGUGAUGUCAUGGAGUAUCAAUGAGGACUUCCGUCUGCUUGUGGAUCUUGAGUUAAUACAAUUCUACAUGCUCUGCAAUUGGGACAAUACCUCUGCCUCUCCCGAGUCCUAUUGUGGGAAAAACAGUGGAGCCACUUUGGCAACGAUACAUACAAUUUUUAGGAGAAACAUAUUAAUAAAGAGGAUCGUGACACGUUCAAGUCUAGGACUAAAGGCGAAGGCAAUUCCAUCACGUUACCCAGUGAACCCGUGGAGACAAGACCGAUUGAGCUAAUGGAGAAAACAAGACACCUCUUAAUGAAGAUUCUAUUUCAAGACAGAACUAAGAAGAUGGAUAAUGAGGCAG
ensembl:lncRNA